UUCCCGGUGGCUCAGUUGGUAGAGCAUGGUGUUUGCAACGCCAGCAUGGUGUGUGUGUGUGUGCAACGCCAGGGUUGUGGGUUCGAUUCCCACGGGGGGAG
rnacentral:tRNA from 1 species